AUUGAACGCUGGCGGCAGGCCUAACACAUGCAAGUCGAACGAGUGGCGGACGGGUGUGUUAUGUCUGGGAAACUGCCUGAUGGAGGGGGAUAACUACUGGAAACGGUAGCUAAUACCGCAUACCAUCGGAUGUUCCCAGAUGGGAUUAGCUAGUAGGUGGGGUAAAGGCUGACCUAGGCGACGAUCCCUAGCUGGUCUGGGAGGAUGACCAGCCACACUGGCACUUAUGCACGGUCCAGACUCCUACGGGAGGCAGCGGUGGGGAAUAUUGCACAAUGGGCGCAAGCCUGAUGCAGCCAUGCCGCGUGUAUGAAGAAGGCCUUCGGGUUGUAAAGUACUUUCAGCGGGGAGGCGUUACCCGCAGAAGAAGCACCGGCUAACUCCGUGCCAGCAGCCGCGGUAAUUC
rnacentral:rRNA from 1 species